rnacentral:rRNA from 1 species
CUCCAGACUCCUACGGGAGGCAGCAGUGGGGAAUAUUGCACAAUGGGGGAAACCCUGAUGCAGCGACGCCGCGUGAGCGAUGAAGUAUUUCGGUAUGUAAAGCUCUAUCAGCAGGGAAGAAGAUGACGGUACCUGACUAAGAAGCCCCGGCUAACUACGUGCCAGCAGCCGCGGUAAUACGUAGGGGGCAAGCGUUAUCCGGAUUUACUGGGUGUAAAGGGAGCGUAGACGGCGAUGCAAGCCAGAUGUGAAAGCCCGGGGCUCAACCCCGGGACUGCAUUUGGAACUGUGUGGCUGGAGUGUCGGAGAGGCAGGCGGAAUUCCUAGUGUAGCGGUGAAAUGCGUAGAUAUUAGGAGGAACACCAGUGGCGAAGGCGGCCUGCUGGACGAUGACUGACGUUGAGGCUCGAAAGCGUGGGGAGCAAACAGGAUUAGAUACCCUAGUACA